GACGAACGCUGGCGGCGUGCCUAAUACAUGCGAGUCGAACGCUGAAGGAGGAGCUUGCUCUUCUGGAUGAGUUGCGAACGGGUGAGUAACGCGUAGGUAACCUGCCUGGUAGCGGGGGAUAACUAUUGGAAACGAUAGCUAAUACCGCAUAACAGUAGAUGUUGCAUGACAUUUGCUUAAAAGGUGCAAUUGCAUCACUACCAGAUGGACCUGCGUUGUAUUAGCUAGUUGGUGGGGUAACGGCUCACCAAGGCGACGAUACAUAGCCGACCUGAGAGGGUGAUCGGCCACACUGGGACUGAGACACGGCCCAGACUCCUACGGGAGGCAGCAGUAGGGAAUCUUCGGCAAGGGACGGAAGUCUGACCGAGCAACGCCGCGUGAGUGAAGAAGGGUGUCGGAUCGUAAAGCUCUGUUGUAAGAGAAGAACGAGUGUGAGAGUGGAAAGUUCACACUGUGACGGUAUCUUACCAGAAAGGGACGGCUAACUACGUG
rnacentral:rRNA from 1 species